UAGUGGGCUUGGGCUUUGUCCGGGCUUUUUUUCUUGGGCUGUUGUCCAGUCCCUCAUGGGUGAGGGCUGGGCUCGGGCGGGCUUGGGCCGGCCCGGGCUUUUUUGCCAACCCUACACAUCACCGAUUAACAGUACAUAAGAAUUUUCUCCAAUGGAAUUGUGACACCUCAUCAGUCAAUGCCACAUCAUCGGUCAAUGCCACGUCAUCAUUCCGUCUGUGUGAACAGUGUCGUGAACAGUAACAUAGACAUUACCGUACAUGUGAAUAGUGCCGUACAUGUGAACAAUGCUAUUUUUCCUUUUAUACUCCUCCUAAGGUUUUCGACUGUCCUGAGUUCAAAAGUGAUGUCCGAUUUACAGUCUGAUCUCUCGUUCAUUGUGAAAUGACCAUGACACCCCUAAA
rnacentral:lncRNA from 1 species